AACGAACGCUGGCGGCAUGCCUAAUACAUGCAAGUCGAACGAGAUCUUCGGAUCUAGUGGCGCACGGGUGCGUAACGCGUGGGAAUCUGCCCUUGGGUUCGGAAUAACUUCUGGAAACGGAAGCUAAUACCGGAUGAUGACGUAAGUCCAAAGAUUUAUCGCCCAAGGAUGAGCCCGCGUAGGAUUAGCUAGUUGGUGGGGUAAAGGCCCACCAAGGCGACGAUCCUUAGCUGGUCUGAGAGGAUGAUCAGCCACACUGGGACUGAGACACGGCCCAGACUCCUACGGGAGGCAGCAGUAGGGAAUAUUGGACAAUGGGCGAAAGCCUGAUCCAGCAAUGCCGCGUGAGUGAUGAAGGCCUUAGGGUUGUAAAGCUCUUUUACCCGGGAUGAUAAUGACAGUACCGGGAGAAUAAGCUCCGGCUAACUCCGUG
rnacentral:rRNA from 1 species